UCGAGGCGAGAGCACGCGGCCCACAAAGCGCGCGCAUGUGAAGCGAGUUGCGUUCGGUUUUCGAUUCGAGCCACAUGGCGUAUACGCGAUACGGCCAAACCUACUGCCUGCAUUGACUCAAUAAUGGUCAGUGGUCCCUGUUGCGGCUUUCGUGCGUGAGCUGACAAUCAGAUAAUGUGUCAAUAAUUAAACUGGGCAAUCGACGUUGCUCGAUCACUAUGUGAAAAGCCAUAAUCACACUGGGAAGGAACUUCAAUUUUAGAAGGCAGAGUGAAAAACAGCAUUAAGAGACCGAAAAACCUAAGAGUGUUUCAGAUGUUUGAUGUAUCAGCAUUUCUUAAAUAUGGUCAGGCACCCAGGUGAUGUGAUUGGAAAUAAGCGAAGCUAAGUGCAUCCGUCUGCAUUUGCUGUCUAAAUGGCUCGCCGCGAGUCAGAGGACGAAUAGCAGAUACCCAGUGACCCGUGAGCCAUGUUCGAUUGAAUGCGGCAGCAACAGCAACAGCUACGACAGCCGGCACCGCAGCAACAACAGCAAGAGCAACACCAACGGCAGCAGCAACCGCCACGCGAGCAACAUGUUGACAACUCACCAUCUGCACCACCUGCACCACCAUCGCGGCAGCACGGCCGUGGAACUGGACAAGAUCACCAACCUGAAUACGCUCAUCAUGGAGAUCAACAGCCAUGUGGCGCUAUUCCGGGACAUGCUGAUACACGUGGGCCAGGCCAAGGAUUGCCCCGAGCUCCGCGAGAAGAUCCGCAAGCUGCGACGCACCUGCGUGGAGGCACUCAAGCACACCGCCCAAAUCCUGAUGCCCCAGGUCAAGAGCGCCAUGGCCGAUGGCAUCCUCACCGACAACCCGCACUUGGUGCUACUGUUCUACAUGGCCCAGUUGUUCCUACGUGAACUUGUGAAAAGUUAUCGUCUCAUACAAGUCGUGCCAAUGGAUAUGUCCGGCUAUUAUGAGAACCGAGCGGGGCCCUCGAACCUGGGCAAUGUCAUCAGCCAGAUAUUAUUGUGCAAACAGUUUACGCCAGACUUCAACGAGGAGGAAU